rnacentral:rRNA from 1 species
GACGAACGCUGGCGGCGUGCUUAACACAUGCAAGUCGAACGAAGUGGCGGACGGGUGAGUAACGCGUAAUCAACCUGCCCUUCAGAGGGGGACAACAGUUGGAAACGACUGCUAAUACCGCAUACUGAAGGAGGGGAUUGCGUCUGAUUAGCUGGUUGGGGGGGUGACGGCCCACCAAGGCGAGGAUCAGUAGCCGGGUUGAGAGGAAGAACGGCCAAAUUGGGACUGAGGCAAGGCCCAGGAUCCCAAGGGAGGGAGCAGUGGGGGAACUUCCGCAAUGGACGAAAGUCUGACGGAGCAACGCCGCGGGAGUGAUGACGGCCUUCGGGUUGUAAAGCUACGUUAAUCGGGACGCGGUACCGGAAUAGAAAGCCACGGCUAACUACGUGCCAGCAGCCGCGGUAAUAC